CUUUAGGCGUUGCUUUCAUGGAAGCAGAAGGCAAGCAAGAAAGAUGUCCAGAGGAGGAUCUCCCUGAUAACAGAUAUGCAGAGCACAGUCUUCUUAUCUCUGUGCUAACCUGCACACACUGAACUGACUGACAGGAAAGGGCUAUUUAUUCAUAUCUGAUUUUUAGAGAAAUUCCCCCCCCCAGCUAGUCCGUGUAAUUGCAGUAAAAACAGAUUCUGUGCACAACAUGUCAAUUUACUUCUUUCUAAUAAAGCAAUCUUACAAAGUACCAUGAGAACUACAUGUGUGCA